rnacentral:tRNA from 1 species
GGGGCUAUAGCUUCAGCUGGGAGAGCGCUUGCAUGGCAUGCAAGAGGUCAGCGGUUCGAUCCCGCUUAGCUCCACCA